GUAGGUGGCAAGCGUUGUCCGGAAUUAUUGGGGCGUAAAGCGCGCGCAGGCGGUUUUUUAAGUCUGAUGUGAAAGCCCACGGGCUCAACCGUGGGAGGGGUCAUUGGAAACUGGAGAACUUGAGUGCAGAAGAGGAGAGCGGAAUUCCACGUGUAGCGGUGAAAUGCGUAGAGAUGUGGAGGAACACCAGUGGCGAAGGCGGCUCUCUGGUCUGUAACCGACGCUGAGGCGCGAAAGCGUGGGGAGCAAACAGGAUUAGAUACCCUGGUAGUCCACGCCGUAAACGAUGAGUGCUAAGUGUUAGAGGGUUUCCGCCCUUUAGUGCUGCAGCAAACGCAUUAAGCACUCCGCCUGGUGAGUACGGUCGCAAGACUG
rnacentral:rRNA from 1 species